CCUACGGGGGGCAGCAGUGAGGAAUAUUGGUCAAUGGGCGCGAGCCUGAACCAGCCAAGUAGCGUGAAGGAUGACUGCCCUACGGGUUGUAAACUUCUUUUAUAAAGGAAGAAAGUGAGGCACGUGUGCCUUUUUGUAUGUACUUUAUGAAUAAGGAUCGGCUCACUCCGUGCCAGCAGCCGCGGUAAUACGGAGGAUCCGAGCGUUAUCCGGAUUUGUAGGGUUUAAAGGGAGCGUAGAUGGGUUGUUAAGUCAGUUGUGAAAUUUGUCGGCUCAACCGUAAAAUUGCUAUUGAUACUGGCAGUCUUGAGUACAGUUGAGGUAGGCGGAAUUCGUGGUGUAGCGG
rnacentral:rRNA from 1 species